GCUGGCGGCAGGCCUAACACAUGCAAGUCGAACGGUAACAGGAAGAAGCUUGCUUCUUUGCUGACGAGUGGCGGACGGGUGAGUAAUGUCUGGGAAACUGCCUGAUGGAGGGGGAUAACUACUGGAAACGGUAGCUAAUACCGCAUAACGUCGCAAGACCAAAGAGGGGGACCUUCGGGCCUCUUGCCAUCGGAUGUGCCCAGAUGGGAUUAGCUAGUAGGUGGGGUAACGGCUCACCUAGGCGACGAUCCCUAGCUGGUCUGAGAGGAUGACCAGCCACACUGGAACUGAGACACGGUCCAGACUCCUACGGGAGGCAGCAGUGGGGAAUAUUGCACAAUGGGCGCAAGCCUGAUGCAGCCAUGCCGCGUGUAUGAAGAAGGCCUUCGGGUUGUAAAGUACUUUCAGCGGGGAGGAAGGGAGUAAAGUUAAUACCUUUGCUCAUUGACGUUACCCGCAGAAGAAGCACCGGCUAACUCCGUGCCAGCAGCCGCGGUAACACGGAGGGUGCAAGCGUUAAUCGGAAUUACUGGGCGUAAAGCGCACGCAGGCGGUUUGUUAAGUCAGAUGUGAAAUCCCCGGGCUCAACCUGGGAACUGCAUCUGAUACUGGCAAGCUUGAGUCUCGUAGAGGGGGGUAGAAUUCCAGGUGUAGCGGUGAAAUGCGUAGAGAUCUGGAGGAACACCGGUGGCGAAGGCGGCCCCCUGGACGAAGACUGACGCUCAGGUGCGAAAGCGUGGGGAGCAAACAGGAUUAGAUACCCUGGUAGUCCACGCCGUAAACGAUGUCGACUUGGAGGUUGUGCCCUUGAGGCGUGGCUUCCGGAGCUAACGCGUUAAGUCGACCGCCUGGGGAGUACGGCCGCAAGGUUAAAACUCAAAUGAAUUGACGGGGGCCCGCACAAGCGGUGGAGCAUGUGGUUUAAUUCGAUGCAACGCGAAGAACCUUACCUGGUCUUGACAUCCACGGAAGUUUUCAGAGAUGAGAAUGUGCCUUCGGGAACCGUGAGACAGGUGCUGCAUGGCUGUCGUCAGCUCGUGUUGUGAAAUGUUGGGUUAAGUCCCGCAACGAGCGCAACCCUUAUCCUUUGUUGCCAGCGGUCCGGCCGGGAACUCAAAGGAGACUGCCAGUGAUAAACUGGAGGAAGGUGGGGAUGACGUCAAGUCAUCAUGGCCCUUACGACCAGGGCUACACACGUGCUACAAUGGCGCAUACAAAGAGAAGCGACCUCGCGAGAGCAAGCGGACCUCAUAAAGUGCGUCGUAGUCCGGAUUGGAGUCUGCAACUCGACUCCAUGAAGUCGGAAUCGCUAGUAAUCGUGGAUCAGAAUGCCACGGUGAAUACGUUCCCGGGCCUUGUACACACCGCCCGUCACACCAUGGGAGUGGGUUGCAAAAGAAGUAGGUAGCUUAACCUUCGGGAGGGCGCUUACCACUUUGUGAUUCAUGACU
rnacentral:rRNA from 1 species